rnacentral:rRNA from 1 species
GACGAACGCUGGCGGCGUGCUUAACACAUGCAAGUCGAACGGAAAGGCCCUGCUUUUGUGGGGUGCUCGAGUGGCGAACGGGUGAGUAACACGUGAGUAACCUGCCCUUGACUUUGGGAUAUCUUCAGGAAACUGGGGCUAAUACCGGAUAGGAGCUCCUGCUGCAUGGUGGGGGUUGGAAAGUUUCGGCGGUUGGGGAUGGACUCGCGGCUUAUCGGCUUGUUGGUGGGGUAGUGGCUUACCAAGGCUUUGACGGGUAGCCGGCCUGAGAGGGUGACCGGCCACAUUGGUACUGCGAUACGGACCAGACUCCUACGGGAGGCAGCAGUGGGGAGUAUUGCACAGUGGGCGGACGCCUGAGGCAGCAACGCCGCGUGCGGGAUGACGGCCUUCGGGUUGUAAACCGCUUUCGCCUGUGACGAAGCGGGAGUGACGGUAAUGGGUAAAGAAGCACCGGCUAACUACGUG